rnacentral:rRNA from 1 species
AACGAGCGCUGGCGGCGUGCCUAACACAUGCAAGUCGAACGGGAUUAGGGGCUUGCUCCUCAUCUAGUGGCGCACGGGUGAGUAACGCGUAGAUAAUCUGCCUGAUGAUCUGGGAUAACAGUUCGAAAGGACUGCUAAUACCGGAUCAGCCCACGGGUUCUUUGGAAUCUGCGGGAAAAGGGGGGGACCUUUUGGCCUUCUGUCAUCAGCUGAGUCUGCGUACCAUUAGCUAGUUGGUAGGGUAAAGGCCUACCAAGGCUGCGAUGGUUCGCUGAUCUGAGAGGAUGAUCAGGCACACUGGAACGGACACACGGUCCAGACUCCUACGGGAGGCAGCAGUGAGGAAUUUGGCGCAAGGGGGGAAACCCUGACGCAGCAACGCCGCGUGAGGGAUGAAGGCGGUCGGGUCGGAAAGCUAUGUCAAGUGGGAAGAACCUGCUUUGGGAUAAUACCACGAAGCACUGACGUUACCCUCAAAGGAAGCACCGGCUAACUCCGUGCCAUCAGCCGCGGUAAUAC